rnacentral:rRNA from 1 species
AUGCUAUUGCUGUUGGCACUGUUGCUGCUCUGUAAUGACAGAGUUGGCAACGUCAAAGGCUUAACGAUCCACGAGAGUAGCAUCGUCGAUCUGCAUGCGCUGCUCGAUUUCAAGCAGGGCAUCACCGACGAUCCACGAGGAGCCUUGAGCAGCUGGACCAACAACACCCACUUCUGUCGAUGGCGUGGUGUGAACUGCACCACAACACGUCCGUUUCGCGUCUCGCGGCUUGUCCUCACCGGCCUGGAUUUAGCAGGACAAAUCACCUCCUCUCUUGGAAACAUGACUUUCCUUCAAUCACUCGACCUUUUUUUUUUGGAAGGUUCAAUCACUCGACCUUGA